rnacentral:rRNA from 1 species
UACAGAGGGUGCGAGCGUUGUCCGGAAUCACUGGGCGUAAAGGGCGCGUAGGCGGCUCAGUAAGGUUGCGGUGAAAGCCCGGGGCUCAACCCCGGGUCGGCCGUGGCAACUGCUGGGCUGGAGCACUGUAGAGGCAGGUGGAAUUCCGGGUGUAGCGGUGGAAUGCGUAGAGAUCCGGAAGAACACCGGUGGCGAGGGCGGCGACCUGGUCCGAUACUGACGCUGAGGCGCGAAAGCGUGGGGAGCAAACAGG